CCAAAGUUUUAGCAACAGCUGUAUCGACGUGGUGAGUUUUCACCGCGUCGCUUUGCAUCGACCAAUCAAAUCAUUCCACGUCCAUCACGUGGUCAUUAUGAACCAAUCACAAGCGGACACGAGCGGACAGUUGUCGCGUGCUCGACACCGGUUGGCAAGUUUUGUCCAUGUGCUUUCACAACACAAAACCAUUCAACGAGAGUUUCUACGAGUGAUUGUUGGUUCUUCUGCGAGGAAAAGACCUUCUCUUUUUCGUUCCAAGAUGAACAAAUUAUUUUACCUUCUCGGGAUUUUUGUCGUAUUACUUCUAAGUUGUAAGUAUAAAUGGUUUUUUACAAAGUUAAAAUGUUAACCUGACAUUUAUUGGAACCGGAAGUCCAUUGAAUUGGAUGUAUUUUGCGCUUUUUGCGAAAUUUCGUUUGGAA